AAGUCGUAACAAGGUAUCCGUAGGUGAACCUGCGGAUGGAUCAUUAUCACGUUAUCCACGUAUCAACCAUUGUGAACUUGUACUCUUUUGAUGAAGACUUGGGUGUAAUAACUCUUGUUUUUAUCAAAUAACUUUUUAUUAUUAACUAUUUAAACUACUUAUAAUAAUUAAUUAAUGAACUGAAACAUUCUUUACUCUUUCGGGAGAAGGAAUAUAAAUUACGAAACAUAAGAACAACUCUUAGCAACGGAUAUCUUGGUUCCC
rnacentral:misc_RNA from 1 species